AGACGCUGGCGGCGUGCCUGACACAUGCAAGUCGGACGGUUCUUGUACCUUCAAGCUUGCUUGUUGGUGCAAGGAUAGUGGCGGACGGGUGAGUAACGCGUGAACAUCUACCCAUUGGAGGGGGACAACCCGUCGAAAGGCGGGCUAAUACCGCGUAAGCCGCGAGGUGAGAGGCUGCCUAUUGGUGGCCGCCGAUGGAUGGGUUCGCGUCCUAUCAGCUGGUUGGUGGGGUAACGGCCUACCAAGGCGAAGACGGGUAGCCGGCCUGAGAGGGUGAACGGCCACACUGGGACUGAGACACGGCCCAGACUCCUACGGGAGGCAGCAGUGAGGAAUUUUCCGCAAUGGGCGCAAGCCUGACGGAGCGACGCCGCGUGAGGGAUGACGGCCUUCGGGUUGUAAACCUCUUUUAUUAAGGAAAAAGGCAAUCGUGCUAACACCACGGUUGUUUGAUGGUACUUAUUGAAUAAGCCCCGGCUAACUACGUG
rnacentral:rRNA from 1 species